UACGUAGGGUGCAAGCGUUGUCCGGAAUUAUUGGGCGUAAAGGGCUCGUAGGCGGUUUGUCGCGUCUGCCGUGAAAGUCCGGGGCUCAACUCCGGAUCUGCGGUGGUACGGGCAGACUAGAGUGAUGUAGGGGAGACUGGAAUUCCUGGUGUAGCGGUGAAAUGCGCAGAUAUCAGGAGGAACACCGAUGGCGAAGGCAGGUCUCUGGGCAUUAACUGACGCUGAGGAGCGAAAGCAUGGGGAGCGAACAGG
rnacentral:rRNA from 1 species